rnacentral:rRNA from 1 species
GAUGAACGCUGGCGGCGUGCCUAAUACAUGCAAGUCGAGCGAACGGACGAGAAGCUUGCUUUUCUGAUGUUAGCGGCGGACGGGUGAGUAACACGUGGAUAACCUACCUAUAAGACUGGGAUAACUUCGGGAAACCGGAGCUAAUACCGGAUAAUAUUUUGAACCGCAUGGUUCAAAAGUGAAAGACGGUCUUGCUGUCACUUAUAGAUGGAUCCGCGCUGCAUUAGCUAGUUGGUAAGGUAACGGCUUACCAAGGCAACGAUGUAUAGCCGACCUGAGAGGGUGAUCGGCCACACUGGAACUGAGACACGGUCCAGACUCCUACGGGAGGCAGCAGUAGGGAAUCUUCCGCAAAGGGCGAAAGCCUGACGGAGCAACGCCGCGUGAGUGAUGAAGGUCUUCGGAUCGUAAAACUCUGUUAUUAGGGAAGAACAUAUGUGUAAGUAACUGUGCACAUCUUGACGGUACCUAAUCAGAAAGCCACGGCUAACUACGUG